AUCGAACGCUAGCGGGAUGCUUUACACAUGCAAGUCGAACGAGUGGCGGACGGGUGAGUAAUAUAUCGGACCGUGCCCAGUAGUGGGGGAUAACAACUCGAACUAGUGGCUAAUACUGCAUCCGAUUGGCGCGGCCGCUAUCGGAUUAGCUGGUUGGUGGGGUAAAGGCUCACCAAGGCCACGAUCCGUCGCUGGUUUGAGAGGACGACCGGCCACACUGGGGCUGAGACACGGCCCAGACUCCUACGGGAGGCAGCAGUGGGGAAUUUGGGACAAUGGGGGGAACCCUGAUCCAGCCGUCCCGCGUGUAUGAGAAGGCCUUCGGGUUGUAAAGUACUUUUGGCAGAGAAGCGGUAUCUGCAGAAGAAGCACCGGCUAACUACGUGCCAGCAGCCGCGGUAAUUC
rnacentral:rRNA from 1 species